AGGCAAAAGUCUAUUCUGUCCAUAACAGAGCACCAUAAAGUGGUAUUAGAAAGACUGAGCUUGUCCUUGCAGAAAUUCCAUACAAAAUCUUCUCUUUGCCAAAGAGGAGCACUGGCUAUGAAAAGGUGGUCCCCUAAGUAUGACAAAUAUAGAGACCAAGUAAUAUUUUUUCUGCAGUUUCUAAAAUCAGAUAAUUUGGGUUUAUCUGGCAGCCCCACACAACUUGUGUGCAAUCAAAGACAUCAACAGUGGCACUUAAAAUACAAGUACCAUAAAGUGGAUUUGUUAUAGCUCAUUUCCUUGAGCAAAAUCUUAGCCAAAUAAAUUUCUAAGUAACCCCAGAAGAUUAAAUCCCGCAUUCUGUAAUUCUAUUCCAAAUCAUUUUUGUCAUUAUUUAUACUCCCAUAUAUUGUGAUGUGAUUUCGUGAUAAUAGGUCAUUUUGCAGCCUAUUAGUUGUAAAAUUGAGAAUUGAUUUAUCCUCAUUUUCCAGAGUCAUCUAAAAGUUCAACUUGCAUUGGCUGGUUAUAUUUUCUCCGUGACCAAUGAGAGACUCAAUCCUGAGAGGCAGAUGCUUAAACAAGUGGAGUGACUUGUCUUGAGGAACUGCCUCAUGUUCUUUCUUGACUGAUUAUUUUAUAAUACACCUAAUUCAAAUUUUCAGCUAAAGUCAUGCCAGUCAGAUCUCAUCAGUAGGGAAGGAGAAUUUGUAAGUGAAAAAAUAAGCAACAAAAAAAGACAGAAUAUAUGAGAUCUUCUUAUCCAAAAUGUAAUUAACAUAGUAUCUCAGCCAGGAUUAAGGGUUUAUUUUUAGGAAGACAUUCAUAGAAGAUGUUGUUUAGCUAUGAAAAAAGGCCUACCCUGAAUGUUAUACUUAUUGUAAUUGCUGUCAGCAUUACAAAUAAAACAGAAUAUACAUUCUCCAACUGUAAUAAAUCAGCAAUUAGAACUGUCCAUUAAAAUAAUCUGACAUGGUACACAAACUAGACAAGAUGCUUUAUAAAAAUAUCAGUCUUAUGAGUACAUACUGAGAUGAAAAACUUAGCACAAAUGCCACAUUUAUAAUAAUAAAUUGGUUGCCACAUUUCAUCUUAUUGGUUGUUUUCUUCUCUGGAUGAUACAUUUCAGUUGAUUUCUUGUUGCAUACAUCUUUGAAACCAGCCAGAGUAUUGUGUUCUGGAGGUGUCAGCAUAAGAAAAAUAUGGACUUGUUAAAUGAAAUCCAGGGGAGAACCACUAAGGUGAUCAUGGGGUUGGAACACCUCAUCUACAGAAACAAGCUGAGAGGUUGUGGUUAGAGCAGAAAAGGCCCCAGGCAGACCUUAUAGCAACCUUGGAGUACCUCAUAUCAGCUACAGGAAAGAUGGAGAGGAACUCUUCAUUAGGGAGUGCAGCAGUAGAACAAGGGGUGAUGGUUUUAAACUAAAAGAGCAUAAAUUUAGGUUAGAUAUUAGUAAUGAACUAUUCACCAUGCGGGUGGUGAGACAAUGGAAAAGAUUGCCCACAGAGCUGUAGGUGUCCUGGAAAUGUCUAAGGGUAGAUGGGUCUUUGAGGAUCAUGGUCCAGUGAUCCCAUUGCAGAGGGAUUGAAACUAGGUGGUCUUUAAUGUCUCUUCCAGGACAAACCAUUCUAUGAUUCUAAUGCAAGAAAUCAAGGAGCUUAAUUCUGUUUUCUUUUUGUAAGAUUUUCAAUGUAAUCGUAAGUUAAACUAUUUCAUACCUACCUUGUUUCUCAGUCCACAGGAAGAGCAUUUUGAAUGCUCUGUUCAAAUGCAUUUAGAAACUGCACUGCAAAGUUCAUAUCAAAUGCAGAGAUCCUUAACAGAAAAGUAAUGUGUAAAAAUGAAAAUAUUGUUUUGUAUUAACCGAUCUUCUAUCAGGGAUACAAUCUAGAAUAUAAAUUUUAACAGGUGUUUAUGAUCAGUUAUCUGCUUGACAUUAGAAACUGCUUUCUCUUUCAGCAGCAGUUUGCAAGGUUUAUGACUCCCUUCUGCCUUUUCCUGAAACAAAAUGAUUACUGACAGAUAGACUUUUUCAUGUACUUAAGAGCACAAUAGAUUUUCAAAGUAUUGGCAUCAAGUCUCAAAUCUUCAACUUUAUGACUCAUUUCCUAUGAGCAUAAUUCUCUUUCCUGAUGUAAGCUAUUAUUAGUUUGUUUGGUUUAUUUCCUACAGCAUGUUUUCAGAGUGGCAGGUUUUGUCAAAUAUGCCUCAUAGGUUUUAAUUCUAACAGAAUAAUAAUAGCAGGUGUGUAGGGGGAGGGCAAUUAAAAAUUUUGUAUUUCACAUAGUUCAUACUUAUCCAAAAAACAUCCCUGCCAAAGAGUAGCAAUGACGUGUUGGAGAGGUGUCCACAAAGGUGUUUGAACAUCUUCUCCAUGACAUCGUAGGGAAGUUAUUAGAUGUAUUUUAGUUAGUUACUAAAUGGUAAAGACUAAUUCAACCCUAAAACAUUACUGAAUUCAACCAUACUAGAUGAGGAAUGUAUUCUGAUAGGUCUCAGUUCUAUUAAAAAAUUUUGCUUUACACUUCAGAUGAUGUCAGUGUUGAUAGAAUUUGUGGUUGGGUCAGUGAUCAGACAAAAAUAUGAUAAGUGUGCAGAGGCUGAAUGAAUCUCUUACAUUCAAAGUAAGAGAUAUGGACAUAUGGACAACCAUGGGAUUGCUUCUCAGGUUGGCCUUUGAUGGUCUGUGAUGGAGUACAAACAUGGCCCUAUAUACUCAAAGAAAUGAGAUGGAACUAGGUAAUCUUUGGGGUCCCUUCCAACCCAAACCUUUCUGUGAUUCUAUGGUUCAAUGGUUUUCCAUUAGAAAAUCUUGAAAAACAGCCACUCAGCUUUUGAUUUCUCAUUCUUAAGAAAGAGUUACAAAAAGCUUGGAAAGCUGACAUGAAAACUUACAUACAUUAGGUCCAUAGAUGCUAAAUCAUGAAGUCAAUAAAGGUAGUUAUCCUUUUUUAUCACAAUUCGCCAUUCUACUUGUUGAAGUCAGUUGACAUACACUCUUUUCUGUUGUACAUUAAAAAUAUCCUGUUCCUUUUCCUAAUCUCUUCUCUUCAUGGUGUGUCCUCCACUCCUCAUGGGUGCAAACUAAUUUUUUCUUAUCUGAGAAACCUCAUAAAAUAUCCACAACUUUCAUUUAGAUCUGAAACUUCUUGCUUCUCCUUCAGACUUGAAGAAGUGUUUGUUAUACUGGAAAUAUUGUCAUAUUUUGUCUAAUGCAGUUUUUCUUUUGCUUUCCAACCUUAUUUUGCUUAUGGUUACAGAAAGACUCAGCUAGGUUUACAUUUGAAUCACACUUUCUGUUAAUAACUGCAUAUCAGCAAGUGUACUAUUUUAUUCAUGUAGGGCCUUGGAUGAAACUCCUGGGAAGAAGAGAGACAACAUUCAGACUAACUGCCAGAUUGCAUGAGGCCCAUUUGAGAAAGCAAUAUUCUGGCCCAGAAAAUACAGAACUAGAAUUCAGAAAGUACCUUAAGUAGAUUCCACAGGCAAUGAAUAUUGGAGAAGAGGUGGAAAAUUCCUCAAUUCAAGAUGAGAAAUCCUUGAAAAGUUGUAAAAGACAGCGCAGAAUAGACUGGGUGCCAUGAAGAUGUGAUGUUCUGCUGUCUCUUUCUUUUUUGUGCUGUUGGCUGAUGGACCUGAUGUACCUCCACCGCAGUAAUCUAAAGGGACAGCCUAAGAACAGAAAGGCCUUUCAUCUUACUGGCAACAAAGAGAGAGUCCAGCUGCAGUAGGAUGCCUCAUUGGGAGGAAGAAGUUGAAGUUGUUGAGGGACCAUCUACAGACAACAGAAAGCAGCCUCAGAAUCACAGGCACUGGUUCUCAUGGGAGACUUCAUUCACACUGUCAUUUGCUGGAAGACAACACUGCCAGGCACACACAGUCCAAGGGGCUCCUGGGCUGCUGACCAUUUCCGGGCUUGCUUCCUGAGGUAUUUCUUGUGACAAGACUCUAACUGAUUUAUGGAGGUGGCAAAUGAUGGGUGCUACCGUGUGACAAUCAACAUCACUUUGACUUUUGAAAGCACCUUCCUCCAGAGCUGCUUGCCUCUGGAAGAGAGUGCUCAGGAGUGGCUACUGGUGGAAGAUCUGGCCUAAGAGCCCCAGCUUGUUGUGGGAAAACUGGGGAACGACACCAUCGUACCCUGUGAAAAACAGGAUGCAGAUGGGCAUCCCUGCUUCCUCUUAUCUGCUGGCAAGGCCCGGAAGAUGAUAACAAAGGAAUUUCUGCUGAGAUCCCAGAGCCAGUAGCUGCCACUCCAAGGAGAGCUGACUCAACCACUUCGGAUUCGAGCUGUCACUCAAAAUAGAGCUGACUCGACCACUUUGGACUUUUUAUAAGCUUGUACUGCCAUCGUCAUUGUCGCUGUGGUCACCUUUGUCAACAGAACACCCGACGACCCACCACUACUGAAGAUCAAUGACUGAACUACGAACCACGUUGGACCAUGGUGGUGACUGUCUCCCUCCUGCUUCCUAUAUGGACUCCUUGCUUCUAUUUCCUAUCUUUUCUAUCACCCUUCUCCUCUUA